CAAAGACUCCUAGCCAGUACACACCAAACAGCUAAAGCAGAUGCUACAUAGAGUAGGACCUGAAAAGCAGGGGAGCCACAAUGGCUAGACUCUGGGAGAGCGAGCAGGGCAGCUAGGUAGCUGUGGAGAACAGUCCACAUUCUGACAGGCCCUGAUUCCACAGGUGGUUGGGACCCCGCGUCACCUCUCCGGGAGAAACCUAGCAUAACAUCUGUAUGUUUCAUAUCAGUUCCUAAAGAGAGCAUUUAUUAACUCCAGUCUUCAUAAAGAUAUGAACGUGAUUGUAAAAUGCAACUGGCCUGGACCGCAGAAGGGAGAAUACUAAAGCUUGAUUUUAAACAUGCUUUACAGUCCAAACGUUUCACACGUAUGUUUCUGCUGAAACCCAGAACACUGAAAGGCAGAGUACCGAGAUGACUGCCCCCCUCCCUUUUUUUUAAGACAGGGAAACCGAGGUGGUGGACUACAACAGAUCACUGUCCAGCAAGGGGCCGACCCAUCAAUCUCUCAGGAGCCAAACACUAAACUCUGUGCUCCUUCCCUCACAACUCAGACACGGAGACAAAAGUUCGGCGGAAACUUUCGAUAAAGGGAUUUGGAAGUUUUCCGAGGACCGCCCAAGAAGAGCAGGAAGUACACACUCCAUCUACUUUAAACUGUUCACAGCCAGCCCAUAGCCCGGGGCUCUGGGAGCGGAGCUUACGUGAGGCACGAGUGCCACCACCCAGCACUGCCCGGGAGCCCACGACUCAGAGGUCAUCCCGGAGCAACCUCGGUGACCCAGAGCCCCGCAGCCCAAAGCGGGUCCCCAAAGCCCCCGCUACCUGUUGACACACCGGAGGGAGAUGAUCCCUACGAGAGGCAUUAGGCAGAGACUCAAGGACAGGGUAGAGGAGGUGGGAGUCCUUGUAUCAUAAUGAAGCCAAGCGCUGGCAGUGGGAUGGAGCAAACUGGGAGAGAGAGAGAGACAGAGUGACUCUUCUUCACAACUUCUUCCCAGAAUACAACGCUUCAGCUCCAGGCCAACUCAGUGGCCUCAGUCCCCUGAAAGGAAUUCAUUUACCCUGUUUGCUGAGGUUGGUAUUAAAUCCGACUUCUUUGGGAUCCAAUGUGAAAAAGGGCAGUUCUCCAGGAAUCCUCCACACCCCAGCACUAGAUUGGGACUGCAGAGACAUCCAGCCUUGUAGACUGGACAGCUACUGGAUUCUCAGCUUUUCCAUGGUGAGACAGGCACUGUUGGACUACUAUGUCUGAAAGUCAGUCUAAUAAAUCCCCUUUUAAUAUCAGCUCUGUCUCUUUUGAGAACCCUGACUAAUAUAACAAUAAAGCCCCGACUUCUCCCUUGUGCCUUGAGUGAGAAGUAUGCCCGAGCUCCUGCAGGAGCUAGCUUUGCAUGAUCUUUCAUCUGGAAGCCUCAUCCCGAGGUCUCAUCUAGAAGAAACCAGUGCAGACAGCAGAUUAAUCAUGCCAAAUACACGAUACCCUAGAACUGAGACUAUUCCGUUACCGUAACCGUUGGCACCAGGACAUCCAAAAAAGCCAAAACCAGAAAUAACCAAAACCAUGAGAUCACCUGACCUUGGAUUAGAACCUAAAGAACCACAAACCAGCUUGUUUAAAUUGGAUGUAUGGACCUUGCAACA